AGGUGCCUAACCGCAAGGAGGGCGCCUACCACGGUGAGCUUCAUGACUGGGGUG
rnacentral:rRNA from 1 species